GAGGUAGGUACUAUUAUCCCCAUUUUACAAUUACAAUUACAAUUAAGUCACAAAAUUUGUGUCUGAUGCUGCAUCUUCUUGACUUCAGGCUCAGUACUCUAUCCAUGUCGCUUCUAGAAGGGAUAGACCUCAUAGACCAUUUAAUCCAACCUCCUAAUUUUACACAUGAAGAAACUGUGGGAGCCUAAAUCAUCAGAGCCCAGUGGCAAGUCAACAUGACUGGCAAUGACCCUGGAUGCAGUGGAUGUCUUGGCGUCUUCCAUGUCUGAUUGAGCUCUAAUAGUUUAUGAAAAACAGGACCAAGCAAAGGGCAAAGAGCGGAAAGUCCAUAUUCCCAUCUCUUCUCAAGAGAAAAAGUAGGCUCUUUGGGAAAUAGGGAAAAUGAGAGAAAAAUAAGCCUCAAUCAUUGGGAGUGCAGAAGUCUAAUGAAAAAAAAAAAGGAUAUUGAAUAAAGCAGUAGGAAUGAUUAAGGAGAGUUCCUUCCAAGAAUUAUAAAAGAACUCAGGAGAACAUAGAGGACAAACCUGCCAAAAUACUGCAAGAAAAGAUGUUGCUGAUCAGCGGCAGGAAAUACUCCACGUCCCAUGAGAGAGUCUGUUCUCAGAAGACUGCCUGGCCAAGUCUGCAGAAUGGAGAAGUACUGUCAGGCAGCCACACUUACAGGAGGAGGCCUCACUGAACCUAGAACUAGUUGGAAGUUCUUUCAAAGCAGGUCAUCUCUGCUGUGUGGCACUGAGGCUUUAAGGGUCUAAGUGUUUCCUUUUAAGAAAAAGGAAACCAAUACAUAAUUCGAAGCCAGAUUUUAAAAGUACAUUUAAAUGGAAUCUUGAGAGUUGGGAGAGGUCUUUGUGAGCAUCUGGCACAUCUUUCAACUCAGAUCCAAACUCUUUUCUACAGAAUUGCUGCCAGUGAUCAUCCUGACUUGGCUUGAAUAUUUCCAAAGACGUGGAUCUCUCUUCUUUUUGAGGGUGGCCCUUUCCAUGCCUGGGCAACUCUUAGUGUCAGAAAACUGUUCCUCAUUUUUAUUGAAUUUAAGUCAACUUCUUUGUAUUCUACGUAAUGAGCAGUCCUGGUUCUGCCUCCUGGAACAACACAAUAAAUCUAGUACAUUUUCUCCACAUAUCUUAAGAUAUUUUCCAGCUUAAAAUGAGGCUUCUUUGGGCUGAGAAUUCCAAACAAUGUCAAUUUCUGGUUUUCCAUGGUGCUUGUUUGUCAGUUUCCCUCUUAAACUGUGUUUGAUUAGAGUUUUACAUGACAUUUCAGAGCAGAGAAUGAUGUAGCUUUUAUUUCCCUUGACCUCAAUAUUAUUCUAUCAAUUCAGCUUAAGGCUGACAUAGAUUUUUUAAGAAGCUAAUUUAAUCAUGCUUUUGGUUCACUUUGAACUUGCUAUAUCUCCUCCAUUUAUGUAAUUUUAAAAAAUCUGAUUGUCAAAUUUUACAUUUAUUACUCAUAUUUAAUCCUGUUGGUUUUAGUCUUCCAUUUUGAUCCAGUUAUCAAAAUUAACUGUCUUAGUUCUCUCUGUGACAUCUAUAGAUCCGAUGAACAUCAAAAAGGAUUGGACCAAGCAAGAACCUUAUGGCCUAAUACUGAAAGGCACUAUAUUAUAGUGGAUAGAGGGCUGGCUUUGGAAUGACAAAGGUCUGGGUUUGACUUCCUCCACAGGAACACAAUAGGUUUAUGACUCAAUAUAUGACUUCUAUGUAAAAUGGAGAUAAUAAUGAUGAUUCUAUUUUCAUAAGGUUGUUAUAAAAAUCAAGAGAAAUAAUGUAUUAAUGGCAUGCCAGUAAUUAUUAUUGACAUCAAGUGACUAAUCAAUAAUUUUAAUGAGUUGCGAUUCCACCUAACUGUACUGUACUCAUAUUAGCUUUAUAGGGAAAAUAUGAACAAGUAUAAGCUGUACCAUGCUUCAGCUUUCCCCCCUUAUAUUUUCCCUAUAAAGCCAACAUGAGAUACUUUGUCAAAUUACUCACUCAAGAUCCAUUACAUCUGUGGUAUUCCCUUGACACACCAGUUUGAUAACUCUAUCAAAAAAAGGAAAUGAGGUUAGUUUGGCAUAAGUUACUCUCAGCGAAUCUGUGCUGACUCCUAGUGAUAUAACUUCCCUUCUUAGGUAGUUACAACACAUCGAUCUAAAGAUCUGUUGGAAUUCUGCCAGACAUUGACAUCAAGUUUACCAGUUUGCUGUUUCCAGAGUUCAUUUCCCUCACAUUGGGGGGAAAAAAAAAAGAAUGAGACCUUUGCCCUUCUCCAGUUUUCUGGCACCUGCCCAUGCUUCAUGAAUUCUCAGAUUACCCAGUUCUGUAAUCUCAUUUUCCACUUCCUUUAGCACCCUGGUAUGUAAUUUGUCUAAGCCUUUCCUAUUCUGAUCUAGUCUCUUUAGGGCUUUAAUUUCUUCUUCAUAAUAUUUGUUUUACACUUCAUAGUUUGAAGGCCACUUUUUUGAUGGAGUAGAAAGUCACUUCUCUUUGAUGAUUCUCUAGUCCCAUUCUUAUUCCUCUAACUCUGAGUAUCACUAAAAAGAGACCUGUUUUUAUUUUAUUUUAUUUAAAA